rfam:Aggregatibacter actinomycetemcomitans D11S-1, complete genome.
UCAUCACCAUCAUGUAACUGAAUAAUCUUUCAGGUAUGUGGUGUGCUUGGAAGAUCACUUCCGAGCAAGGUGCGAAUAAUUCAUGGUUUAUCACAACCCCUCGGAAGUUAACUUUCGAGGGGUUUUCUUU